GACGAACGCUGGCGGCGUGCUUAACACAUGCAAGUCGAACGGAAAGGCCCUGCUUUUGUGGGGUGCUCGAGUGGCGAACGGGUGAGUAACACGUGAGUAACCUGCCCUUGACUUUGGGAUAACUUCAGGAAACUGGGGCUAAUACCGGAUAGGAGCUCCUGCUGCACGGUGGGGGUUGGAAAGUUUCGGCGGUUGGGGAUGGACGCGCGGCCUAUCAGCUUGUUGGCGGGGUAGUGGAUUACCAAGGCUUUGACGGGUAGCCGGCCUGGGAGGGUGACCGGCCACAUUGGGACUGAGAUACGAGCCAGACUGCUACGGGAGGCAGCAGUGGGGGAUAGUGCACGAUGGGCGGAAGCCUGAUGCAGCAACGCCGCGUGCGGGAUGACGGCCUUCGGGUUGUAAACCGCGUUCGCCUGUGACGAAGCGUGAGUGACGGUAAUGGGUAAAGAAGCACCGGCUAACUACGUG
rnacentral:rRNA from 1 species